rnacentral:rRNA from 1 species
GCAGUAGCCGCGGUAAUACGAAAGGUCCAAGCGUUACUCGGAAUUACAGGGCGUAAAGCGCGCGGAGGCGGUUACUCAAGUCAGAGGUGAAAGCCCGGGGCUCAACCCCGGAACUGCCUUUGAAACUAGGUGACUAGAAUCUUGGAGAGGUCAGUGGAAUUCCGAGUGUAGAGGUGAAAUUCGUAGAUAUUCGGAAGAACACCAGUGGCGAAGGCGACUGACUGGACAAGUAUUGACGCUGAGGUGCGAAAGCGUGGGGAGCAAACAGGAUUAGAUACCCCGGUAGUCCCUGUCUCUUAUAC